UGCCUUUGUGUUGCCCUUUCAUUGUGUUCUUCAUGAACAGGGUGUCUACUAAGGCAUACAGAAACACUUGCAGUUGUUGGAAGAAUUCAUCAUCACUGAUCAAUUUCUACACAAUUGAUUGCAAGUACAAAU
ensembl:snoRNA